rnacentral:rRNA from 1 species
AUCGUUUUAAUAUUUAACUCUAUUUGUUGUUGCAUUUUUUUUGUUAUUAUUUCUUAUGUUUUUUUUUGUAGAAUAUUUAAAUUUGUUUUUUUUUGAAAAAAUGUUUAAAAUUUGUUUUUUGAACUGGAUUAGUACCCAGGUAAUCAAAAUUUAUUAAUGCGGGAGUAAAGUUGUUUUUAAACCGAAAAAAUAUUGACUGACCUUGGAUUUUUCUUUGGAACAUGUGCUUUGGAGAGUCCUCCUUUAUAGUUUUUUUUAUUGGCUCAUGUAUGAUUGUUUAGUUUUCAUAUAAUUUGUGAUGCUUUUUUUAUUUUUAAGUUAAAACAGAUAUAUAUUUGGUUUAUAAAUUAGUAGGCAUGUGUUACUAUUAUUAAUUUUUUUCGGAUAAAUUUUGUAAUUUUUUUUUGAAGUUGGAAAAGAAAGUAAUUGAUUUUUUAUGUCUUUAUGAAU